GUUCCACGAUGUCGAAAGAACACGUUCGCACAACUUUUACACGACAAACAGCUGAUUUCCGUUCCACUAAAAUCCAUCAGAACGAAAAUUUGCACGAAAAUCAAAGCGAACGAAAACGUAAGCGUUUCAGUGUAAUUUUGCGUUCCACUAUCUUUUUUCUUCCGUACGCAUGCGAACACAAAUGUCAAAAUCAGUCACUUGUGUGUUUGCUGUCGAAUGAUAAAAAUUAAGGAAAAUUGUUUUAACAUAAACAUUCCUUGAUUGAAAAUGGAAAGAAAAAUCACGAAAAAACUACACAGCUGCGGGCACUAGUUGAGUAUAUGGGGGAGAAUCCUAAGUUCGCCAGAGGUGUGCCAAUUUUUGGAAGCAGCAGGCAAUCCCAUGAAGACCACUGGAAGACACAAACCUAGAAAAAAUCAUUUUUUUAUUAUUUCAAAAAUGUAAAAAUACAAUCAUACUUACUGGUUGUUAGGUACUUCAAAUAAAUUCGAAGCAUCUCUUAAA